rnacentral:rRNA from 1 species
UACGUAGGGUGCAAGCGUUGUCCGGAAUUACUGGGCGUAAAGCGCACGUAGGCGGACUAUUAAGUCAGGGGUGAAAUCCCGGGGCUCAACCCCGGAACUGCCUUUGAUACUGGUAGUCUCGAGUCCGGAAGAGGUGAGUGGAAUUCCGAGUGUAGAGGUGAAAUUCGUAGAUAUUCGGAGGAACACCAGUGGCGAAGGCGGCUCACUGGUCCGGUACUGACGCUGAGGUGCGAAAGCGUGGGGAGCAAACAGG